rnacentral:rRNA from 1 species
CCUACGGGUGGCAGCAGUGAGGAAUAUUGGUCAAUGGGCGCGAGCCUGAACCAGCCAAGUAGCGUGCAGGAUGACUGCCCUACGGGUUGUAAACUUCUUUUAUAAAGGAAUAAAGUGAGGCACGUGUGCCGUUUUGUAUGUACUUUAUGAAUAAGGACCGGCUAACUCCGUGCCAGCAGCCGCGGUAAUACGGAGGAUCCGGGCGUUAUCCGGAUUGAUUGGGUUUAAAGGGAGCGUAGAUGGGUUGUUAAGUCAGUUGUGAAAGUUUGCGGCUCAACCGUAAAAUUGCAAUUGAUACUGGCAGUCUUGAGUACGGUAGAGGUAGGCGGAAUUCGUGGUGUAGCGGUGAAAUGCUUAGAUAUCACGAAGAACUCCGAUUGCGAAGGCAGUUCACUGGACUGCAACUGACACUGAGGCUCGAAAGUGUGGGUAUCGAACAGGAUUAGAUACCCCUGUAGUC